UGGUAUGACGUUGGCGUCGUCGUCGUCGUCGUCCGAAGACACAUUGGUUUUCGCACUCUAACUUUAGUUUAAGUGAAUGGAUCUCUAUGAAAUUUUACCAUAAGGUUCAAUACCACAAAAGGAAGGUUGGGAUUGAUUUUGGGGGUUAUGGUACCAACAGUUAAGGAAUAAGGGGCAAAAAAGGGGCCAAAAAUAAGCAUUUUUAGGCAGUUAAGCUGCCUUAUGCUACCGCCCUAGAUUUGUGUUCUUCCCACUGAAUGGUGAAAAAAGUGUUGUUGUUAUUAUCUAGCUGGCUAAUAUGUUAUUAAUAACUAAUUGGGCACUUUUUUCGUACUAUCAAUUCUGGAAUACAAAAAAUAUGACCAGAAAAACCUUAAAUGAUCGUCGAACAACCCAAAACUUUCGAAGUUGCACAUAGGAAGUAGUGCUCAAUAGAAAUCCUUAUGUAAUUUAUUUUUCCCUGUACUUUUGGCUAAGAUGUCAAAGAACAAUUGUAUGAAAUAUUUAAUCGCCGAAAAUCUCUAAAGACAAGUUGUUUACAUUUCCCAAAUGGCAAAUGUCGUAGGAAUAUUGUUUGUCGGCACUACGUAUUACAGUAGUCUAAGUUGGCGGCAAUUUUAACUUAGAAGACGAAAUUUACGUACCGUUUAAAUUUGGAGGAUUCUGAUGAUAGAAGGGUAAUUAUUGUUAAUCAUGAUAUUCUUUUUGUUUGAGAUGAGUGUUAAUAAAUUGUGUAUUCACAUUUGAAUUUCUUCCUUUCAUAUUAUUCCGUUUUCACAUAAAUGACCUUGUCAAGUAUUAAUGCACCAACAGGUGGUGUUUACACUUGUUUUUAUGAAUGAAAUAUUUAAACCGGAAAUCAAGAAAAUCAAGAAGGUCUCACUAAUAUGCGAAAAGAAGAUUGUAGAGACAAUAAGCGACAAGUAGAAAAAAGUUAGCGACAGGAAGAAUGAAUUUGCGACAAGAGGAUAAAUUUAGAGACAAGAAAGUUUAUAUACUAUUAAAAUAAUAAAUUUAAAGAAAAGUCAAUUAAUUACAGUUGAUAUUUUUCUGUUUUGUAAAGUUUUAAAUUCUGUUGCAUUUAGUAGCCCUACGUACUUCAUGACGCUUCUUGUCGCUUCUUGUCUCUAAUUAGUGUGACCUUGUAAAUAUGUCAAUUUUACAGAGAAUGACAGUAGAAUGUGAUAUGGAUAAUAGACCUAGAAAGAUCGUUUGAUCAUACUAGAUUCCAAUUCUUGGCUUUAAUAUCUUAGAAGUGACAAGACAUACAUGUACAAUAUAUGAGACUAUCUAGUAGCUGCAUUGACUAGUCAUCAUAAUAAUUCCAUGACCGCUAUGAAACAUUAGACCUUUUUGAUGUUUCGAAUAUAGUUAAACAUGUACAUGAUCUACAGAUAUGAUCAAAGUACAUGUAUAUAUGAAAAUUUUUACCAGGUCUUAUCAUAUGACGACUAGUCAGACAAAUUUUGGUUCAGAAUUCUGACAGGAAUUUUUACAAAAUUGCCACGGGUUACAACACAUGAAUAUAAUUUGUCAUGGAGUUUACUGUAACGGUCCAGCUAUUAAAGGCUGUCUAAUGAUACUAUCAGAACUAUGAAAUGUCUGUGCAACUGUUACUAUAAAAUGUAGGAGAUACAUGUACAUCGUAUCAUUGCACACUAUCAAUAUAUAUACAAGUAGUAACCCAGGUAUCAGUUAUAUAAAGAUAGUUUGAAUACAUAACGAUGAUACAAUGUGCAGAUACAUGAAAUAUGUUUUAUAAAGUAUGUAAGAAGUGAAAUAUAUAAACAUAUUAAAAAAAGACAGAAAAAAUAUUUGUAUGAAAUUUGAUGUAAAUGUAAUAGGUUGGACACUUAGAAGUACAAUAAUGUAAAAGAAAAUUAAACGCAUUUCUAGCCUAACAACAUAAUCUUUUUGUGUAAUAUGAUCCAUGCAUGAUAAACAAUAAAAUUACCACGCCUCAAA